GAAACCAGCUUCGUUAUCCACCAGAUUCUCAGAAACCUUCACCCCUCUGUAGAACACUGACACCCUGAACUGUGUCUCUGGAGACACACACACACACACACACACACACACACACACACACACACACACACACACACACACACACACACACACACACACACACACACACACACACACACACACACACACACACACACA